rnacentral:rRNA from 1 species
CAAUAGCGUAUAUUAAAGUUGUUGCGGUUAAAAAGCUCGUAGUUGGAUUUCUGCUGAGGACGACCGGUCCGCCCUCUGGGUGAGUAUCUGGCUUGGCCUUGGCAUCUUCUUGGAGAACGUAGCUGCACUUGACUGUGUGGUGCGGUAUCCAGGACUUUUACUUUGAGGAAAUUAGAGUGUUUCAAGCAGGCAUACGCCUUGAAUACAUUAGCAUGGAAUAAUAAGAUAGGACCUCGGUUCUAUUUUGUUGGUUUCUAGAGCUGAGGUAAUGAUUAAUAGGGAUAGUUGGGGGCAUUCGUAUUUAACUGUCAGAGGUGAAAUUCUUAGAUUUUGGAAAGACAAACAAUUGCGAAAGCAUUUUACCAAGGAUGUUUUAAUUGAUCAAGAACGAAAGUAUGGGGAUCGAAGAUGAUCAGAUACCAU